AAGCAAUUAUACCGUGAAACUGCGAAUGGCUCAUUAAAUCAGUUAUCGUUUAUUUGAUAAUACCUUACUACUUGGAUAACCGUGGUAAUUCUAGAGCUAAUACAUGCUGAAAAUCCCGACUUCGGAAGGGAUGUGUUUAUUAGAUAAAAAACCAAUGCCCUUCGGGGCUCCUUGGUGAUUCAUGAUAACUUUACGGAUCGCAUAGCCUUGCGCUGGCGACGGUUCAUUCAAAUUUCUGCCCUAUCAACUUUCGAUGGUAAGGUAUUGGCUUACCAUGGUUUCAACGGGUAACGGGGAAUUAGGGUUCGAUUCCGGAGAGGCAGCCUGAGAAACGGCUACCACAUCCAAGGAAGGCAGCAGGCGCGCAAAUUACCCAAUCCCGACACGGGGAGGUAGUGACAAUAAAUACUGAUACAGGGCUCUUUUGGGUCUUGUAAUUGGAAUGAGUACAAUUCAAAUCUCUUAACGAGGAACAAUUGGAGGGCAAGUCUGGUGCCAGCAGCCGCGGUAAUUCCAGCUCCAAUAGCGUAUAUUAAAGUUGUUGCAGUUAAAAAGCUCGUAGUUGAAACUUGGGCCUGGCUGGCGGGUCCGCCUCACCGCGUGCACUCGUCCGGCCGGGCCUUCCUUCUGAAGAACCUCAUGCCCUUCACUGGGCGUGCUGGGGAAUCAGGACUUUUACUUUGAAAAAAUUAGAGUGUUCAAAGCAGGCCUUUGCUCGAAUACGUUAGCAUGGAAUAAUAAAAUAGGGCGUGCGUUUCUAUUUUGUUGGUUUCUAGAGACGCCGCAAUGAUUAACAGGAACAGUCGGGGGCAUCAGUAUUCAGUUGUCAGAGGUGAAAUUCUUGGAUUUACUGAAGACUAACUACUGCGAAAGCAUUUGCCAAGGAUGUUUUCAUUAAUCAGUGAACGAAAGUUAGGGGAUCGAAGACGAUCAGAUACCGUCGUAGUCUUAACCGUAAACUAUGCCGACUAGGGAUCGGGCGAUGUUCUUUUUCUGACUCGCUCGGCACCUUACGAGAAAUCAAAGUUUUUGGGUUCUG
rnacentral:rRNA from 1 species